GUCAUUUGGGCCUAGAAUUUUCUUUAAAGGAAGGUUUUUGAUAACAAUUUCUUACAUAGAUAUAGGGCUAUGCAGAUUUUCUAUUUUACUUGUGUCUGUUUUACUAAGUUGUAUUUAUUACGGAAUUUGCCAUUUCACUUAAGUUUUUUAUUGUUGGCAUGAAAUUGUUGAUAAUAGUUUUUUGUUAUCCCUUUAAUGUCUGUAGAAUUUGUGGUAAUGUCUCCACUUUCAUUCCUGAUAUUGGUGAUCUGUGUUUUCUUUUUCUGUCUUUUAAAAUCACUCUACCUAGAGGUUUGUCAGUUUCAUGGAUUUGUUUCAAAGACCCAGCUUUUGGUUUCAUUGGUUUUUCUGUUUUAGAUUUCAUUAAUUUCAGGUCUUUUUUAUAUCCUUCCUUCUGUUUACUUUGGGGUUUACUUGGUUCUUCCUUUACUAUAAAGAAAAUAUUGAUAAAUUUGACUCCAUAAAUUGUUUUUUAAAGUUGCAUGGCAAAAGCCACUGUGGACAAAGUCAAAAUAUAGCUAUCAAAUAGCUGUGAUAAAAUACUUACAACAUAUAUCAGAGGGCUGGUAUGCCUGAUAUAUAACAACCUCUUAAAAAUUAAGGGAUAAAGGACCAAAACCUGAUGGAAAAGUUAAAGGAAAGUUAUCAACAGACAAUUCACACAGAAAAGAUCAGGAAAUGUUCCUCAAACAUAUUAAAAAAUGUGGAACUCAUACUUGAGAAACAUUAAUUAAAAUAACACUGAGAUACCAUUUCUCAUUCAUCAAAACUGGCACAAAAUUUUAAAUUUGUAUUUUAUUUUAGUUUUGAGACAGGGUCUCGCUCUGUCACUCAGGCUGGAGUGCAGUGGCAUGAUCACGGCUCACUGCAGCCUUGACUUCCCAGGCUCAAGUGAUCUUCCCACCUCAGCCUCCUGAGUAGUUGGGACUACAGGUGUGUGCCACCAUGCCUGGCUAAUUUUUGUAUUUUUUGUACAAUUUUGGUUUCACUAUGUUGCCCAGGCUGGUCUCAAACUUGGACUCAAGCAACCUUCCCGCAAACGAAAAAUUUACAAGUCUGGCUACACAUUCUGUUGAUGAGGCUGUGGAGAAUCAGGCACUCCUGCAAAUGUUCUUUUUCAGUGUUUUCUGGAUUUCUUCUGUGUUUGUGUUUUUUCAAUAUAUUUUUAGCUAUUCUUGUAUAUUGAUAUGAACUUUAAUAGUUUGUCUAGCUCUGUAAAAAACCAUGUUGAUAUUUUUAUUGCAAUUGUGUUUAUUGUUUAUUGCAAUUUAUAAGCUAAUUUAGGGAGGCAGUUAUAGGAAGAAAAGCAUGGAAUGAGACAGGAGUGAGGACAGAGCCAUAAAGUUCUCUAAUAUUUAGAGAAGGGAAAUCUAGAAUGGGAAAUGGAAAAGGGGUGGUUGAUGAGAGUUUUAAGGAGGAGGAGAUAGUUUUAAAGAGCGUAGAUGUGCUGAAUACUGAUGAGAAGUGUCUUCAGGUAAUGUAUUGUUUAAUACAUGAAUGAGGGACACUGUUCUUAGGCCCUUUUGGGGAUCCAAAUAAUCAUAUAUACAUUGAAUAAGGUGUAAUGUAUACAUUUUAUUCAUUGAUGUAUUGAAUAAGAUGUAUUAUUGAACACAUGAAUGAGGGACACUGUUCUUAGGUGCUUUUGGGGAUAUGAAUGAUUAUAUAAACAUUGAAUAAGACCCAAAUCCUAUUCUUAAGACAUUAUUGUCUAAAAAGGAGCAGGAGAUAUGCUAACUUGACUUUUAAACUUUAUGAGGAGAGGUACUAAGUUUGCAGUAUUCAUCACUGCAUCCUUAGCAUUGAGUCUAGUGUAUAUAGUUGAUUUUUAAUAUAUAUUUGUUGACUGACUAAUAAAUGAUCAAAAUGCUCUUUCACAGGUUUAUUUAAUUAUUCCACACUUAAAGAUAUACAUUGAAUAAGGUAUAAUGUAUACAUUUUAUUCAUUGAUGCAUUGAAUAUUAUUCCACACUUAAAGAUAUAUACCAGAAAUGAACAGUUCAUUCACCUAGGUUUUUUUUUACAUUUGUAAAAAUGUAAACCCUAUGAUUUUAAUUUAUUUGAAUCAUUCAUGUUAAUAAUUAGCGAAGUCUGAGGGAAUAACAUAAUCUAUGGAGAAAGCAUAGAGUGAUCAGAAAACCUACUUGAAUAUGCCAUGUGCCGUUAGGGAUUCAUUUUAGGGCCAGGUGACUUUCAUUGGAAGAUACUGAUAAGGGCCUAUUGGAAUAGACACGAGUUACACUGAAAAGGAUUAUUUGAAUUUGGGCAGGUGGAGACAGGAAGAAGUAUGUUCUGGAUGAAGAGAGAGAUUAAUUGUGCAAAUUUUUCUUUUAUAGAUAUAUUUCAGUAUGCUUUGAAUUAUUGCUAUGAAGUAGAUGUUAUAUUUAUUCAUUCAGUGUAUUCUCAGUGCUAGGCACUAUAGAGAAUAUCAAAGUAGGUAUAAGUGCCAUAUUGUGUGUCACAUUUUACUGGACAUUUUGAAAUGGUGUAACUUGAGAUAUAAAGAAUGUGGCAGAGCUUUAAACAAAUUUCUUUACCUGAAUUAAUUUAUAUUUUGGGAUAUGUUAAAAAUGCCAAAAUAUUUUUAGGGCUUCUAUUUUCUUUUGUUUCAUCUCCUUUUUAAGUAAGAGACUAUGAAGCCAAAUACUAUUUAAUUUAGGUAAUAUACUUUUUCUUUUAAUAGUUUGCUAAAUAAGGAGACAGUUUUAUAUUUUAUUUGUAAAAGAAUAAGGAUUUAUUCUAUUUGUCACAAGUACAUUUGUCACCUUGUUAAAUCAAGGUCUGAUAAGAGGCUGAAUUCACAAAAUUUUGUCCUUGAACUUCAUGUGUCUAUCUCAGCUGUAAUUUCUGAUGCCAGCAAUACUUCUCAACUGAGUGAUGAGUCUUUUGGGAGUGGAGAUUCUAUUAAAACACUUGAGUUUGAAAAAUACUUAUUAUAGUUCAUGUUCUCAGAAAAUAUUUUAAACCCUGACACUCUUCUCUUUUGGAUUUUGUAAAAAAGACGUUGCUGUUUUCCUGACAGUAGACCAUUGUUUUUGAUUGGAAUUCUAUUAUCUUUUAUUUGCAGUUCCUUAAGUCAAGCUAUGACCAAGGUAAUUAUGCUAGUGUAUCUCAUUGUAACUAUUUAUUCUAAGGAAUAAUUUAAUAUAAAAAAGUCCUUAGAUCUUAUCCAAUAAUGGCAUAAACUUGGAGGUUAAUGUUAUAUUUGGACUCCUCGUUUUACAUUCUCUCCAGGUGUGUACACUCAUUUAUGCAUUUACCUUUCGCUUGUAUGAUAAAUGACUUCCAGAUCUAUAUCUAUUAUUUAAAUGUUCCUGGGAAAUCUCUAUUACUGCCCUUUCUCUUCUUUACUGUUUGGUAAUUACUGAUUUACUUGCCUGUCUCUGGCUAGUCUGUAAGCUCCUUGAGGGCAGGGAUUACAUUCAACAUCUUCUGGAAGACAGUUAAUGCACAAGCAGAAUAUUUUAAUCAUAUUGUUAGUUUUAGACUUAGUGCUGUAUUGUACUUCAGUUUGCCCUUCUACAGUGUAACCCUUUUGGGGUCUUACUUUAAGCCUGAAGUACAUCCCUGGGCAGUUUCACCUUGUCUGACCUUGAAUUCCAACUUAUCUUCCCAGUACCAGGCAGCUGGCUGCUAAAGUAUCUGCUCAGCUCUUUGGCCUCUCAGCUAUUGCUGUCUGCUAGGCUUUUGGAUUCUCAUCCUUCUUAUGUAUGCAGAGUUUAGGGAUUGGUAAAUUCCCCCAGGGCAAAUUGCACGAGGAUUUUAGGGCUCACUUCCAUGCGACAUCCUCCUCUUUGGGCUGUAUUGACCUCAGGUCCUUACAGCUUUGGCCUUCUCACAUUCCAACCUAUGGCUCCUUAUCCCCCCUGGACUUCUGCUUUCUAUUCCCCUGUGCUGUGAAUUUAGGUACAUAUCUUCACAAGAAAAAGCAAGGGUAAAUGUGGAACUCACUUUAUUCAGCUUUUUUUCUCUUGAAUAGUAGCCCCAUCAGGUUCUGCCUAUUUCAGUUGUUUCCCAGUGUCUUUUAGCAGUUACUUUAUGUACUUCUGUCUUUUGUUGAUUUUGGUGAGAGACUGAGUCCUGAUAUAAGCUAUUUAAUCAUGACUGGCCUGAAGUCCAUGGGCAUGUAUUUAAAAAAAUUUUUUUUUUAAAAAUUGAGUUCAAAUUCACAUAAAAUUAGCUGUUUUAAAAUACACAUUUCAGUGACGUUUAGUACUCUCACAAUGUUGUGUGUGGAUGUGUUUUUAAUUUAUAUAAAUGAUAGUACACUAUGGCUCUUGUUUUGUGUCUCAUUUUCACCUAACAGUAUGUUCUAAGAAUUUUUCACUUUUUCUUUUCUAUUCUAAAUAUUGCAUAGCAUGCAUUUAACUUAUCUAUUCCUUUUGUGAUGAAUAUAUACUUUUCUUCCACCUCCCCACACUGUAUUGCAACUAGUAAGAAUUUAUUCUUGAUACCAUUUUCCCCAAGCAGGUAGGUUAUGUAGGGGUCUUCUUUGAAAAUUUGAUCCCCAGAAUUUCUAGUUUAAGUCAUUAUCUGUGUUCUGGAGGAACUGACUCUUGGGGAAAUUCCUGGAUUCUUUGGAGCUGUUCUAGACUUGAAAGUUCUCCUCCCAGAUUUAUUUUGGCAUUAGCCUAAUUUCUUGAGUAUAUCUAAACAUCUGUGAACACUGUGCAUUUUGCCACAUAAAGGAAUAGGAGCACUCUCUACCCCUUGAGGUCUUGGU
rnacentral:lncRNA from 10 species